UGACAGCUCACAAGAAACAGCCUCUGUCAAUCACCUCAAAAACAAGAUGCCACGGGGACAGAGCGCUGCAGAGAAGCAGCGGGAAUACCGGCAAAGAAGGGAUGCAGAUCCUGAUAAAAGAGCCAAUUAUCUCGCCAAAAAGAAAGAAACAUACAAACGGGAGUUAGAAGCAGGAAAGAGAAAACAUGUAGCAGAUAUGACCGCACGGGAGCAACGAGCUAAAAGAAAAGAAUGAAAGGAAUACAAGGCUGAAUCACGUUCGAAGCAAAGGGUUGAAUUGAUGACGCCUCCAGCAACCCCAGAUACAUUGUCACCUGAACACGAAGAGAACAGAUCCAGGCAAAAGGAAAGAGGGCGUAAGAAGGUUGCAGCAUCACGGUCUAAAAGCAAUCGAGAAAGAGCAAUACUUCAAAGUAAACUUGACGAC